AAGUCGUAACAAGGUUUCCGUAGGUGAACCUGCGGAAGGAUCAUUAAAGAUUCUGGACUUCGGUCCAACACACCUCCAGCUGUGCGCUUCGGCUGCACGCUGGUACACCCCUCACCCCUGUGCAUCAUUUCGGUGGCGACGUUUUAAUCGACGUCGCUUCCGCUACAUACAACAACUUGAUCAUGAAUGUAAAAACUAUAAACAUAACAACUUUCAACAACGGAUCUCUUGGCUCUC
rnacentral:misc_RNA from 1 species